UACGUAGGGUGCAAGCGUUAAUCGGAAUUACUGGGCGUAAAGCGUGCGCAGGCGGUUGUGCAAGACAGAUGUGAAAUCCCCGGGCUCAACCUGGGAAUUGCAUUUGUGACUGCACGGCUAGAGUGUGUCAGAGGGGGGUAGAAUUCCACGUGUAGCAGUGAAAUGCGUAGAGAUGUGGAGGAAUACCGAAUGGCGAAGGCAGCCCCCCUGGGAUAACACUGACGCUCAUGCUACGGAAAAGCGUGGGGGAGCAAACAGG
rnacentral:rRNA from 1 species